GGUGACUUGGCCUCCACUUCCCGCAGAAGGAGUCGGUACAGGGGACGCUUCCUCUCGCUGGAAAGGGCUUGGUGGUACCUGGAGGCCCCGGUGCAGGCCAGACUUGCUCAAGAGGAUGUCUACCUUCUGCCCCAGCCCGCAUACUAUGCCUUUGCAUUCCUUCUAUCUUUAAGAUUUAAAAAAAAAAAUGUGUGACGAGUGUUUUGCUUGCAUACUGUGUGCGAGCCCCGGGCCCCCGCAGUGGCCAGAAGAGAUCGUCGGAUAUUCUGAAACUGGUGUUACAAACGUCUGUGAGCCACUUGUGGGUUCUGGGAACCGAACCCUGGGAGUCUACAAGGGCAGCAAGCGCUCUUCACUGUUGGACUCUCUCUCCAGCUCCCUUUAUUCCUUCUCUCACAGCCUCGUUCCUGCCUUCCAUCUCAACCAUCGAUUCCUCCUCCCGCACCAAGCCUUCCUUCCCUGGCUGCCUGGCCCUGCCCUAGUCGUGACUGGCUUUCAGGUAACAGAAAGUUACCAGAGAGGCCUGAAACAGCCUAGACGGCUGCUGUGGGGUCUGACUCAGGCUUGUCUGAAGGUACAGAGAAUCAGACAAUACAAGAACAUUCAGUGACCCCUCUCACCACCACCCUCUGUUGGUCUAGUAACUAACUACUUCACCUAUCUCCAGGAGUUCACAUCUGCCUUGGCUGGGCAUGAUGGCACAUUCCUGUCACCUGAGCAUUUGGGAGCCUGAGGCAGAGAAUCACGAGGCCAGCGUAAGCUAGACAGCCAGGCUGUUUCAGUAACAAAACCCCACCCAAGAACCUCCCUGGCAGUGCUGGAGAUUGAACCUGGGACCUCAUGCAUGCCAGGCAAAUGCUCUACCACUGAGCUACUGCCCUAGACCACUGACAACCCUUUUUAUUUGUAGCCAAACGGUGUCCCGUCGUGUGGAUGGCCACUGUUUUUUACCCAGGCCCUUCUUCAUGGAUAUUUGGGUGGCUUCCAAUCAUAGCUGUAAUAAAUAAUCAUGGAAUCCAAAGAAGCUGGCACAUGUCAUUUUGCAUCCACCUGGCUUAGUGAUAAGUGUUGAA